ensembl:ncRNA R09F10.17 ncRNA
AGACAAAUGCAAUUAUUUAUUGAAACGAGUGUGUUUCAGUAUAUACAAAAAUCAAAUUCAAAAGUACACUGAUCUUCUACUUUCUGCGGCAACAUUGUCCUUGCCCACAUGGAGAAUAGUUCGAUUGACAUGAACACUGGUUACUUUGUGGUGCCUGCUGGCAAGCGACAGUAGCUGGUUGAGCUGCUUGGCAAGAGCUUGAGCAUGAAGAUUGGCAAGCAGAUUGGCACUGUGCGACUGGCUGUUGUUGUUGAACACAUUGUUGUUGGCAAGACUGUUCACAUUGUGGAGCACAUUGCGAGGAUUGAGCAACAGAGGCUUGAAGCACAAUUUGAACCACUUGUGGAGCUGAAGUUGUGGUUGGAUUGUAGAUUGGAGCGGCAGUUUGCUGGAUGCAUGAGUUGUCACAGGCUGGUUGACAAGCUGGAGCACAGUUAGCUUGUUGUUGUUGUUGGUUGUUGUAUGGAUCGUACAUUUGAGUGUUGGAGUUUUGACCGUAAAUGACUUGUUGAGUAGCUUGAGCGGUUUGCUGGCAAGCAUUUGUGCAUUGAGUAUUGCAGGAAGAAGCACAUUGUUUAGCUGGUUGUUGUUGCUGGACGCAAGAUGACUGGCACUGUUGCUGGCAAGCAGGUUGGCAUUGAACUUGAGCUUGCUGAAUUUCAAGUUGAAUAUGAAUCACUUG